GGCUGGGAUAAGGCAGUCUGCUCUUAGUCCCAUCCAGCAGAGCCCUUCUAUCCAUAGAAAUGAUUAAAAAUUAACUAGGCGAGGAAGACAGAUCGACUUUAUCGGUUAAGGUCUAGGGGAGUGCCCUAGAUAGGUCCUGCCCUGACAUGAAGGAACCUCAGGCCAUAAACUUCAGAAGGAUGGAUGAUGGGCAUCUGAUGUUCCCCAAAAGAAGAGAGAGCUCUUGCCUGAUGAACUAGAGACACCUGCCACGAUCGAAGGGCUUCUGAUGGUGACAACCCUGGAAAUGCCAGGGCAGGCAGGAUCC